rnacentral:snRNA from 1 species
AUCCAAGUGCACGGGCGUCUUCCUUCUCCGUGAAGCGAUAAGCUGAGAGAGGAAUUUUGCUAGUUGAAAACUAAAUUCAAACCGCUCCUGUUCAAUUUAUUGGGCAGGGAAUUUUUGGAACCUAUUGUUG